UACGGGGGGAGCAAGCGUUGUUCGGAUUUACUGGGCGUAAAGGGCGCGUAGGCGGCGCAACAAGUCACUUGUGAAAUCUCCGGGCUUAACCCGGAGCGGCCAAGUGAUACUGUCGUGCUAGAGUGCGGAAGGGGCUACUGGAAUUCUCGGUGUAGCGGUGAAAUGCGUAGAUAUUGGGAGGAACACCAGUGGCGAAGGCGGCUCACUGGACCGGUACUGACGCUGAGGCGCGAAAGCGUGGGGAGCAAACAGG
rnacentral:rRNA from 1 species